AGAGAAGCACCGUGAAGCCUUGUUUUUAUGGCUGUCAUAAUCCCACAAACAAUCGGAUGUGGCUAUUUGGACCCAAUUGUGUUCAUUCUCAUUCCAGGAUCAAGCCUGAGAGAUCGAGAGAGGAAACUGGCCAGAGUUAACAGUUUGAACAACAGCGGCAGUAUAUGGGCCAAAAGCUAUUGUCUCCUGUGAGAACAGAAAUGUUCUCCCCUUUGAAGGCACACAAAUGGGUGAAUCACAACAUAAAAUGUGUGAUGUUGGAAAGAGAAGAAAAUAUCCCCAGACCUUCA